rnacentral:rRNA from 1 species
GACGAACCGUGCGAACGUUGUUCGGAAUCACUGGGCUUAAAGGGCGCGUAGGCGGGUUUGCAAGUCAGGGGUGAAAUCUUUCGGCUUAACCGGAAAAGUGCCCCUGAUACUGCGAGUCUCGAGGGAGGUAGGGGCAUGUGGAACUUCCGGUGGAGCGGUGAAAUGCGUAGAUAUCGGAAGGAACGCCGGUGGCGAAAGCGACGUGCUGGACCUCUUCUGACGCUGAGGCGCGAAAGCGUGGGGAGCGAACAGG